UACACGACUCUCGGCAACGGAUAUCUAGGCUCUCGCAUCGAUGAAGAACGUAGCAAACUGCGAUACUUGGUGUGAAUUGCAGAAUCCCGUGAACCAUCGAGUCUUUGAACGCAAGUUGCGCCCGAAGCCAUUAGGCCGAGGGCACGUCUGCCUGGGCGUCACG
rnacentral:rRNA from 1 species